UAUCUAUCUAUCAUAUUGCUGCUUUGGCACUGAGACAUUCCAGUUGGCUGCCUGAAAAAGUUUGUUCUGUCAGGGGCUUAUGAAUCCACAACCUUAUAACUGUCACCUGGUAAAACUAAUGGUCCCUAACUGUCAGCCUCUGACUCACAGCAUGAAUGACUUGCUUGCAGAAGGAAAAUGUUGAGGAUUAAUGCCCAUGGGAUCCCCUCUACAAGCAUUGAUGUAAAUGCUGAGGACAAGUAAUCUGAAACAGAGGAUGUGAGCUGGGGAGGCAGAGGGUCCUUCCUAGAUCCCCUUUGGCUGCAGGGCGCCCACAUUCGUGGGGUAUUUUUCCUUGAUAGUUAUGCCACCAGACUAUGAACAAACUUAGGGGACUGUUCCUGCUGAAUUGUGCUUAGUACAGGGGAAUACCUAUGCUGCCAUAGUUUGGUGUUUGUGGAUGGGCCCUUCAUUGAAACUAGGGAUGGAAAACAGUGAAAGAGAAAUAAUUACACCAUCUUGUUGUUAAUGAUUCUAAGAGACAACUACAAAUGGAAUAUAAAGACAGCGAGGUACUGUUGCCCUUUAAACCUGAGCGCAUCUCCUGUUGAGCAGGACCAGCAAGUGCAGGUGAAUGGAAUCCUAUUAGGGGAGCGCAUUAGCUGCAGGUUGUCAAGACAAACAAACAGCCAGACGGGCCCCCAGCCCCUGCACUCGGAUAAUCAAUACCAGUUCUCUGUUACCCCAACAACAACUCCCUUCAACUCCCCGCUGAAGACGUCUCUGCUUCCCUCGCGCGCUGCAGGAGGCUACACAAACAAACUCUGCCCAACGCCGCAGCCUCGAAAUCUAACGUUUGACAGUUUUUUGGAAUCGGCGUCCGGAUCUGAACCCUCGGCUGAAAGCUACAAAGGAAACUUUCUACAGUGGGGGUAGCGAGAUUAAAGGGGAAGGCAUCUCAAAUAUUCAAUUUUCCACAUAUUAUUAUGAUCAAUUUUCCUAUAUAAAUGAAAAAUUUUUCCAGUG